CAAAACCUUAUGGUAUACAUAUGUUGACUCGUCAGAGCAGGAACUGGUGGGACUGGUAACAUGAACUAUUUAACCCCGCCCCCCUGAUUUGUUGGGUGUGUCUGUGGAUCCGAACACACAAGCACAGUCGUGACUAGUGAUCCAAUCUGGACCGCAAACUAUUUCAGGUUCUUCUGAUGGUCUAUAAACAACAGAGAUGUUUGUCUUCACCAGAGCUGAUGUGUUUAUAGGUUAAUGGCAGUGGACAUGGAUGAAGACUGCAGGUGCAUCCUCUUUGGAACAGAGUCAUCUGGCGGGCCCCCAAGAAGACGUCAGAAAGCAUUCAUGUGGGAACAGCAUAAUUGUCCAAAUCAAGGCCACACAGUGGCUGCAUGCUCACCAUGUGCUUGCAGCCAUUUUGGGUGAAACUCCAGAGCUGUGAUCAAAUUGCAGACUCUGUACAAAUCCCGUAAAGGGAAAAGCAUGUGCCAAUGUUCAUAGACACAGUCAUAUUUAUUCUCUUUUAUUCUGUUUUGAUAGGAGUUUCAGACUUGGAAAAAGCCAUCUCACCAUUGCCCAAACUUUGUUUAAAUGUCUUCCAGCUGUGAGCUGCCACUCCAUUUCUGAUGUGCAUUGCAUUGUGGGACAAUGGAGUCCAUCAACACCACUCCACAAAUAGUUAAUUAUGCCUACUGGCAUCGACAUGUCUUUGUUGUCUUCUGUUUUCUACUUUUCUUAUGCAUUUCCGCAUUUUAGUGUGGCGAUCUGUUUUUAGCAUUUUGAAACUGAUUUGUUGCUCUUGUUAAAAAGCAGCUUUGCGCUCUGUUAUAGAUCUAGAAUACUGACAGAUGGAGGGAGCUUGUUUUAAGAUUGUCAUGCUCUUUCUUGACAACUUGGUGCUUAUGUCACAGUUGUUGGUUUCACAACAAUAUGCGUUGCAUGUUUUGAUGUCCUCUGUAUUUUUAAAGCGCAUGAUGAAAGGCGCUCUAUGUGCGCUACUUUGCAGACAUUCACAGAACGUGAAAUCAAAGCUUCAAAUUACUGCAGUUAAUCCGUUUCCUGUAAAGUCGCGGGUAUGAGUAACACUUAAAAGGCAUGUGUUUUUUUCGUGUCUACAAACAACUCUUGAAUGGGACUAGUUAAUCCCAUGCAGGUCUCUCACUUUGCCUCACCGGGAUUCAUUGUGAAGACGCUUCUUUGCGCUCUGCCUCUUCUCAACGGGGGACGUUUUGUUGCAGCAGGGAGAACAGAGGAGGACCGGAGUGGCUGCAAAUGUAAUCCUCUGUAGCUAAGAGCUCAUAUUGAGACCAAACUGAUAAGACUGUCUUGGGGCUAACGACAGGCCACAGCAGGCAACCAGCCCAUCCAUUUUGCUGCAAUAAAGCCCGACUUGCGGCCUGGUCCCCUGAGGCUUAAAAGAAAGAGUCGGCCCCUAGACCAGGCAGGCCCUGCUGAGGGUCAGAGCCACUAAAAAGAAACAAAGUUGCUAACAGCGGGAGGUAGGUGACUGCCUGAAUGCCUGGUCAUCUAUUCAUCUUUCAGUUAAUGACACCUGUAACAUGUGCAGCUCGGCCAAGUGUCGUGGCCCCUGAUGGCCAAGGUAAAGAUGAGACGUGAUGGGGCUCCAGGGUUCUAGAGGUGAGGCCAGAAGGCUUAUUGAAGUAGCUGACCCCUGACCCCACGUCUCCAGAGGAGGGUGAGGUGCCUUUCAGCUCCUGGCAGCGUGUGUCCAUAGUCUGACCUAAAACCAAAGUCCAUCAGACACCUCCUUGUGGUGAAUCCAAGGUCCAUUAGGCCCCUCGUCAUGGUGCUUAAAAAGUCAAUCAGGCACCUCCUCAUAGUGAAUCCUGGAUCCCCGGGACCCGGCUCUACUCAGGACAAAAUACAAAGCUCCCGUUGACUGCAUUUCUCUUGUUGAGCAAAGUUAACAUUGUGAUUUUUACUCGAAAAGGGAGAGCUCAACAACUGCUGGCUUAGUCAUCGUGCAAUUUGCGACAGAUAUUAUAGGAGACAUAUACACAUUUAAAGAUUUUAAAUACUUGUAUUUAGGGCUUUCCACCGUAACACGCUCACAUGCUUUGAAAAAGUAUAUAAUUUUUCUUAUAUUGCCUGUUUGAAUGUCCCUGUAUUCACCUUCUCUCUCAAACGUUUUGUUUUAGCGCCUGUUUCUUUAAGACCGCCUUCCCUCCCAAACCAGACCAAUCUUUGCGCGAGUCCAAUGUUAUGUUGACCCAGGUUGAGAAAAAAUAAAUGCACAAACCUACAGCUUUUUCCCAAUUUUUGCCAGUCCAUGGUCUUUGUAUAUAUAAAAUUAAUCCAUUUAGUUCUUGUGCCUUCUAAGCCUGAGACGAAAUGGAGAGAAUUGUGCCGAACCGUGCAGCCAACUACAG
ensembl:lncRNA